GCGGCGGCGGCCUCGGGUCCCCCGGGAGCGGCACCGGCACCGGCACCAGAUCCAAUAACCACAUUUCAGAGGGAUGAAGAAUACAAUGUAUUACUCGACAUCGGAUGCCUAAAUGCUUUUCAGACUAUUCACAAACUAUAACACUUCUGGCUAUUAAUGAACUCAAUCCCUUCACGCUGAUGUACAGCAAGACUCUCUCUCUCCACUUGUUGCCCUUUAUUGAACUUACCUCUGUGCCUGCACACAAGCUCCGAAACCUAGAGCUUUGUAAAAGAAACCUAGCCAAGUAAUACAAGCACACAGCUGUAGGUGACAAAGUCUCAACCUUUUAAUUUUCAUACUGACUCGUUUGACACAGCUGGGCAAGUCAUUGCAGUGCUUCCUGCUUCUUUAAGAAAAAAGAAUAGUAUAAUUAAAUUAGUGGUCACGUGGUUCCGACUGUUAAGCUCAAGCAAGCUUUAUCAAAGUGUUUUUAUUGUUUAAAGAUGGAAAGCACAAUAAUGUUUUGAGUAAAGAACAAUAAAUGUAGCAACUACUAUCCUGCUUUACCUACGUACUCCCACAUCUUUCUUUCCGAGAUUACAGUCUGAAAAAGUAUGGCAGAGCAUUACUUAAAAAUAGAAAAUAUACAACAAUGACAUCAGGACAUAUCAUAAGAAAAUGGGCUAUUUAAAUAUCCAAGCAAAAAAAAGUCCUACUUUGAAUAGCAAAAAGUUUUCAUCUUUAUGAGAUACUCUUAAAUACAGUCCAUUUCAGAGUAGGAACUGUGGUCUUUCUCUCAUCUGACAUUCUCUAUUUAAGAGCUUUUAAUCUGUAUUAGCAACAGUACUUCAUCUCCUGUCCCAGAAUCUACAGCAUCUUUAAAAAGUAGAGUAGUUCUGCUCCAAGAGAUUGGUUUUGGUAGGUUUCUUCAUUUUUUAUUUCUUUUUUUUAUUUUCAUUCUUUAUUUCUUCGUUUAUUUGUUUAAAGGUUAUGAAAGGAUGCAGUCAUUUCAUACACUCAUGGGCUAAAGGACAAAAUAAUUAAAAACCUACAAGAGUUUCUGAAAAUGGUAUUUGGAAAUCACUUCCUUUCAUCCUUCAAAAGAAGGAACAGAAGGAACUGCAAGAGACUAUCCUUUACCAUAUACAUGGUAGGAAUGAACCGGGAGAUAUGUUUGAUAAGAGUAUCACAAUCAUAUAUAUAAUGACAAAUAAUGUACUUUUCCAUUUCUAUCCAGUAUUACUGAUAGGCCGUGAAACUCAGACGUGGUUCUCAAGUUCUCUUGGUCUGGAAACAAAAAGUAUGUUGCUCUUCUUCAAGUUUUUGUAUUCAUCACAAAAAUAUCAUCCCCAGUUUGGGAAAACCAACAGAUGAGUGGCCCAAAAAAGGGCCCAGACUGCAGCAGUUACAGUGAAUGUCAUAACUCAGGAUUGCAGUCAUUGGCAGGGAUGUCUGAGGAAGCUUGCAUAACAUCUGCUUGCAACAUGCCUGAUUCAAACCAGCACUCCUCCUCUCAUGAACAUUGAUGACUUUUUAAAAGUAAAAUAAACUUGGUCAUUAUGCGAGCAAAUUGAUUUUCCUGGGUGCUUACCCAAAUCUGCUUGAAGCAACAGAAAGUACUCAGUUUAAAAGCUAUUUUUUUACAUUUGCUAAAUAUUUAUACCACAGCUGUGUCCUUUUUUUCUCUUUAUUUUAGUCUUGUGAGCUCAUUCCUGUGAGCCAUACCCAGAGAGCCCUCUUUAUGACGCCGGAGGGACUACUCCUGUAGAGGGAUUGAUGUAGUUAAAAAUCCCUGCUCACUGCUUUGAACAUUUGUAGUGCUUCAUUGCCAUUAUGUUAGCAUGGUAGGGAACAUGGAAAGACACACUUCAUUUUGGAUGUUUGCUCCCUGGGUUGUUUUUCACAGAUGGUUUUAUUUUCAGGUUUCUUAGUUGUCUUGUUCCUCUUAGAAGGUGUGGCUGGUUAUUUUGACUCAGAUUAUGGCUCUAUAGCUUCCAUGUAAGCCCCAUCAUCAUUUUUAGUACUGACAAUAUAAAUAAAUCAAUCAUAAGUUAAAAGGUU